AUUGAACGCUGGCGGCACGCCUAACACAUGCAAGUCGAGCGGCAGCGAGACUAGUAGCAAUACUAGUUGUCGGCGAGCGGCGGACGGGUGAGUAACACGUAGGAAUCUGCCCUUAAGCGGGGGAUAACCAAGGGAAACUUUGGCUAAUACCGCAUAAUCUCGAGAGAGCAAAGCUGCCCGCAAGGGCGGCACUUGAGGAGGAGCCUGCGUCCGAUUAGCUAGUUGGUGGGGUAAUGGCCUACCAAGGCGAUGAACGGUAACUGGUCUGAGAGGACGACCAGUCACACUGGGACAGAGACACGGCCCAGACUCCUACGGGAGGCAGCAGUGGGGAAUAUUGGACAAUGGGGGCAACCCUGAUCCAGCGAUGCCGCGUGAGUGAAGAAGGCCUUCGGGUCGUAAAGCUCUUUAGGUUGGGAAGAAGUGUAUUGGCUGAAUAAUCCAGUACAUUGACGGUACCGACAGAAUAAGCACCGGCAAACUCUGUGCCAGCCGCCGCCGUAAAAC
rnacentral:rRNA from 1 species